UCAAAUGGUCCAAUAAAUCAGGAGUUCAGUUUUUCCCUCUUGCCAAACCUACUAAUUCCCUUGAAAGGAGUGACCUUAAGGAACACCCAAUCGCCUUUCUCAAAUGCUAAAUCUCUCCUCCAGGUGUCUGCAUAACUCUUCUGCCUGCUCUGAGCUGUCUAAAGGUUCCUCCUGAUCUUAACUAUCUUAGAUGUAGUCUCCUCUACUAGCUCCGAGCUGAACAAUUUUCUAUUGCCCACUUCUUCCCAAUAAAUCGACAAUCUGCAUGGGCGCCCAUAUAAC
rnacentral:lncRNA from 1 species